rnacentral:lncRNA from 1 species
AUCGGUCCCCUCCCUUUGGCUCUCCCCGGCGGCUCUCGGGCCCCGCUUGGACCCGGCAACGGGAUAGGGAGGUCGUUCCUCACCUCCGACUGAGUGGACAGCCGCGUCCUGCUCGGGUGGACAGCCCUCCCCUCCCCCACGCCAGUUUCGGGGCCGCCAAGUUGUGCAGCCCGUGGGCCGGGAGCACCGAACGGACACAGCCCAGCCUUGAAAAGAUCUUUUGAGGUCGAGGAGGUCGAGACACCCAACUCCACCCCACCCCGGAGGGUCCAGACUCCCCUACUCCGAGCCACUGUGGCCAGCUCCACCCAGAAAUUCCAGGACCUGGGCGUGAAGAACUCAGAACCCUCGGCCCGCCAUGUGGACUCCCUAAGCCAACGCUCCCCCAAGGCGUCCCUGCGGAGGGUGGAGCUCUCGGGCCCCAAGGCGGCCGAGCCGGUGUCCCGGCGCACUGAGCUGUCCAUUGACAUCUCGUCCAAGCAGGUGGAGAACGCCGGGGCCAUCGGCCCGUCCCGGUUCGGGCUCAAGAGGGCCGAGGUG